rnacentral:rRNA from 1 species
UGGGGAAUUUUGGACAAUGGGCGCAAGCCUGAUCCAGCCAUGCCGCGUGCAGGAUGAAGGCCUUCGGGUUGUAAACUGCUUUUGUACGGAACGAAACGGCCUUUUCUAAUAAAGAGGGCUAAUGACGGUACCGUAAGAAUAAGCACCGGCUAACUACGUGCCAG